CCAUCGAGAAGCAAGGGUACGGGACGAACAGUUAGUUUUUCUUAAGCAGAAAGUCAAUAAACAUGAUGAAGAGUUUCCGCUCCUGCAAGAGAAAAACAAGGAAUUACACCUAUCGUUAACGCAGCUGAAAGACGAAUUAUCACUAAUUAAACAGAAAAAGACAGAACAUUAUUUUGGCGAGUGCCUGUGGUCAGAUUACGUGAACAAUUUUGACCAGGAAUUUAUCUACGCCCCCGAGAGCUAUGUCAUUUCCGGUGUUAGUAGCUAUCAUCAGAACGCUCAGGAGGAUCGACGGUUUAAGUUUAAAGUGUGCAAGCUGCUGAGAAGAUAAAGAAUUUUAAUAAAAAUUUUUCCGAGUCCUGUGUUACGGAAUUGACUCUUCGAUCAAUACUUCGUUAUAUACGAGGGGUGUUAGGAAAGUUCGCGGACAAGUUCUAUUGUGAGCGCGCUAUUUCCACGAAACCAGUCAAACUUUCCAGAUAAAAUCUUAACCUAUUUUCCAAUAAAUAUACAAAAAAUUGGUGCUCUCAAGUGAUCAUUGAAAAAUAUACAGCUUUUUAAUUUUGAUAAAACUUGCUUGACGGAGCAUGUUACAUUUUGGCACAUUUACAUCACGAAGACUCUUUAUAAAAAUUAAAAAUUGCACAAUUUUAGCGCAAAGAGAUUUAUAAUAUUUUACCUGUCGCAAAAGUAUUCAUGAAACGUCACUGGGAGAAAUUUUGAAUUAAGUUGGAUGGUAUAUGACUGUUUUAUAGCCAUUUAAAAAUGAUCAACUCGUAAAAACACAGCCAAAAAUCGGAACGUCACUGAGCGUCAUGGAGCACUGCACUACGUAAAAUUAUGUGUGCAGACAGUAAAAUGUCUGAAAAGAGAUUGAAACGUUCAAGAUGCUGCCGGGAAUUCUUACACAUACAAAGGACAGUUUUCUAAAGGUUGAAGCUUUAUA